GGUCACGUGUGGAGAGAUUUUAUUUGGACAAGGAAUAAAACUGGAAAAUGAAGCACUCAACAUGUGGGAUGUACAGAAGGCCAAUACAGUUCUGUGUCUGUUAAGUGCUACAUUGGCUAUAAGUCUGAUUGUUAUUGUCGUCCUGAUCCAGGAGAAAAUGUGUGAUUGUUACAAAGCCGGAGACUCUUUACAAACAGAGGCUGCAGCAGUCGGUUGUAAUCCGCCAAGUCAGCAGAGACACAAGGACUCAUUGGUGUAUACAACAGCAACCUUCAGCAGGAGGAAGGCUGGCAAAAC